GGCAGGGUAGCUCAAUGGUGGAGCAGUGUCUUCAUAAGGCAACGGCUGAGGGUCCGAGUCCCUCCCCUGCUA
rfam:Microgenomates (Gottesmanbacteria) bacterium GW2011_GWA2_41_12 TT37_C0003, whole genome shotgun sequence.